rnacentral:rRNA from 1 species
UACAUAGGAUGCAAGCGUUAUCCGGAAUGAUUGGGCGUAAAGCGUCUGUAGGUGGUUUAAAAAGUCAACUGUUAAAAACUAAGGCUUAACCUUGGGCAGGCAGUUGAAACUUUUAGACUAGAGUAUGGCAGAGGUAGAGGGAAUUACUGGUGUAACGGUGAAAUGUGCAGAUAUCAGUAAGAACACCUAUGGCGAAAGCACUCUACUGGACCAAAACUGACACUCAGAGACGAAAGCUAGGGGAGCGAAUAGG